UACAGAGGUGGCAAGCGUUGUUCGGAAUUACUGGGCGUAAAGGGCGCGUAGGCGGUCUUGUAAGUCUUGUGUGAAAUCCCUCGGCUUAACUGAGGAACUGCACGAGAUACUGCAAGACUUGAGAUCGGGAGAGGGAAGCGGAAUUCCGGGUGUAGCGGUGAAAUGCGUAGAUAUCCGGAGGACACUGGUGGCGAAGGCGGCUUC
rnacentral:rRNA from 1 species